UACGGGGGGAGCAAGCGUUGUUCGGAUUUACUGGGCGUAAAGGGUGCGUAGGCGGGCAGGUAAGUCAGUGGUGAAAUCUUCGAGCUUAACUCGGAAACUGCCUUUGAUACUAUCUGUCUUGAAUAUUGUGGAGGUAAGCGGAAUAUGUCAUGUAGCGGUGAAAUGCUUAGAUAUGACAUAGAACACCUAUUGCGAAGGCAGCUUACUACGCAUAUAUUGACGCUGAGGCACGAAAGCGUGGGGAUCAAACAGG
rnacentral:rRNA from 1 species